AAGAAGAAAGAAAGAAAGAUGAACGAAAAAAAAGACAAAAAUAAAAAAAUAAACGUACCAAAACACCCGAAAAAUUACGCAAUACAAAAACCAACCAGCCCGCUUUUUUUUUUUUUUUUUCUCCUCCCACCCAAGCCGAAAAGGGAACAACAAAAAGAGUGAUAAUGAUAAUAAAACGAAAAAGGAAGGAGGAGAGGCUGCUUGCUGGGAGAAAAAAA
rnacentral:ribozyme from 1 species